UGCCAAGGGAACGGGCUUGGAAAAAUUAGCGGGGAAAGAAGACCCUGUAGAGCUUGACUCUAGUCUGGUACUGUAAGGAGACAUGAGAGGUGUAGCAUAAGUGGGAGAUGACUUUGUCAUCGACAGUGAAAUACCACUACUUUUAUAGUUUCCUUACUUAUUCGAUCAGGCGGAAGGCGUCUGCCUUGGGUACUUUGCCCAGGUUUGACGGUAUUCUUGCGCCAAGCGUUAGGGUUGUCGGUUUGUCUAGAUUACACUUUGGCUUUGCAAGUUCAAAAUUUCAAGAUUCAUGUUUCAAGAAAUUGUUCAAGUGUCAAGACGCCGUCAACAUAGACCCCUAGCGUGAUCCGAUUCGAAGACACUAUCAGGCGGAUAGUUUGACUGGGGCGGUACAUCUGUCAAAAAAUAACGCAGGUGUCCUAAGGCCAGCUCAGCGAGGACAGAAACCUCGCGUAGAGCAAAAGGGCAAAUGCUGGCUUGAUCUCGAUGUUCAGUAUGCAUAGAGACUGCGAAAGCAUGGCCUAUCGAUCCUUUUAGUCUGAAGAACUUUCAGCAAGAGGUGUCAGAAAAGUUACCUCAGGGAUAACUGGCUUGUGGCAGCCAAGCGUUCAAAGCGACGUUGCUCUUUGAUCCUUCGAUGUCGGCUCUCCCUAUCAUAGUGAAGCAGAAUUCACUAAGUGUCGGAUUGUUCACCCGCUAACAGGGAACGUGAGCUGGGUUUAGACCGUCGCGAGACAGGUUAGUUUUACCCUACUAAUGAAUAGUUUUUGCGUUAGUAAUCCUGCUCAGUACGAGAGGAACCGCAGGUUCGGACAUUUGGUUCAUGCACUCGGUCGACAGGCCGAUGGUGCGAUGCUACCACCCGUAGGAUUAUGCCUGAACGCCUCUAAGGCCGAAUCCUUUCUAAAUAAGCAAAUAUAACAUUUAUGGGCUUUGUGAGUUAAAAGGCUUAAGCAAUGUGAUUGUUUAGGUGGUUAACAAUUUUUGUUUAAUCAUCACAUAUGCCUAU
rnacentral:rRNA from 1 species